UACGUAGGGUGCAGGCGUUAAUCGGAAUUACUGGGCGUAAAGCGUGCGCAGGCGGUUUGCUAAGACAGGUGUGAAAUCCCCGGGCUUAACCUGGGAACUGCGCUUGUUACUGGCAAGCUGGAGUGUGGCAGAGGGGGGUGGAAUUCCACGUGUAGCAGUGAAAUGCGUAGAGAUGUGGAGGAACACCGAUGGCGAAGGCAGCCUUCUGGGCCAACACUGACGCUCAUGCACGAAAGCGUGGGGAGCAAACAGG
rnacentral:rRNA from 1 species